CCUACGGGGGACAGCAGUGAGGAAUAUUGGUCAAUGGGCGCGAGCCUGAACCAGCCAAGUCGCGUGAGGGAAGACGGUCCUAUGGAUUGUAAACCUCUUUUGUCGGGGAGCAAAAGACGCCACGCGUGCCGCUCCGAGAGUACCCGAAGAAAAAGCAUCGGCUAACUCCGUGCCAGCAGCCGCGGUAAUACGGGGGAUGCGAGCGUUAUCCGGAUUUGUUGGGGUUAAAGGGUGCGAGGGGGGAAGAACAAGCCCGCGGUAAAAUUGAGGGGGUCAACCUCUUCGAGCCGUUGAAACUGGUUUUCUUGAGUGAGGGAGAAGUAUGCGGAAUGCGUGGUGUAGCGGUGAAAUGCAUAGAUAUCAAGCAGAACUCCGGUUGCGAAGGCAGCAUACCGGCGCUUAACUGACGCUGAUGCACGAAAGUGUGGGUAUCGAACAGGAUUAGAUACCCGGGUAGUC
rnacentral:rRNA from 1 species